GGAGGGAUGGCCGAGUCCGGUUGAUGGCAGCUGUCUUGAAAACAGCCGUGGUGUAACAGCCACCGGGGGUUCGAAUCCCUCUCCCUCCGCCA
rnacentral:tRNA from 1 species